UAUAAAGCACACCAACCUCCUGGUCUCUCCUUUCUGCUUCUGCUCUCUUGUGUUGGUCGUUGUCAGACGAGAGAAGUCCUUACUAUUACAAGGAAAAAUGACUAACUCAACAACCCGUCGUGUCUGGACCCACCGUCCUUUCUGAAAGAUUUUUUACUUGCUGGAAGCUGAAGAGGACAGAGUUGAGAUGAAGGUGCCCGCAUGGUGACGAGUUACCUGAAAUCUGGUUUCCCUCCAAAAAACACGGAGCCUCUCAUUUGAAGUGGAUCUUAUGAUGCUGCCUCCUGAACACAUGGAUCAGAAUGGAAGGAUCGGACAUGGAGGCUACCGCACUUUGUCCACGCCUCUGUGGUGAUGGAACAAGUGAAGUUUGGAGAACAAUACCACACUACUCCUUUUGACAUCAGCAAAACCUGAUUCUACAGUCUGUCUUUUGGAUUCUUGCUAAUUGACAGUAUUGCUAAUCCUUUUAGCUGUGUCGUAUGGUGAACUGUCAGGAACAUCUUGAAUGCUAAUAUUUUUAGGUAAUGUUUCUGGGUUUCUUGCUAUAGGUUGCUCUGGUAUACGCCUGUAGUCUGGAUAAAAUGCUGCAUAAUGAAUGAAUAUAGGUGUUGCAUAUUAAAGAUUCAACUGACUUGUCA